rnacentral:rRNA from 1 species
ACGGGCGCAGCAGGCGCAAAAACUUUACAAUGCGAGAAAUCGUGAUAAGGGAACCCCGAGUGCCCGUAAAUUCGGGCUGUCCGUCAGUGUAAAUAACUGGCGAAGAAAGGGCCGGGCAAGACCGGUGCCAGCCGCCGCGGUAAUACCGGCGGCUCGAGUGGUGGCCGCUAUUACUGGGCUUAAAGCGUCCGUAGCUGGGUUGUUAAGUCUCCUGGGAAAUCCACCGGCUCAACCGAUGGGCGUUCAGGAGAUACUGGCAACCUAGGGACCGGGAGAGGUGAGAGGUACUCCAGGGGUAGGAGUGAAAUCCUGUAAUCCUUGGGGGACCACCUGUGGCGAAGGCGUCUCACCAGAACGGCUCCGACAGUGAGGGACGAAAGCUGGGGGAGCAAACCGGAUUAGAUACCCGGGUAGUCCCAGCUGUAAACGAUGCGCGUUAGGUGUAUCGGUGACCACGAGUCACCGAGGUGCCGAAGAGAAAUCGUGAAACGUGCCGCCUGGGAAGUACGGUCGCAAGGCUGAAACUUAAAGGAAUUGGCGGGGGAGCAC